rnacentral:rRNA from 1 species
GACAGAGGUGCCGAGCGUUAGGCGGAAUCACUGGGCUUAAAGCGUGCGUAGGCGGAUCCGUAAGUACCUUGUGAAAUCCCACGGCUCAACCGUGGAACGGCUGGGUAUACUGCGGGUCUUGAGCCACUUAGGGGCAACCGGAACAAACGGUGGAGCGGUGAAAUGCGUAGAUAUCGUUUGGAACGCCGAUGGUGAAAACAGGUUGCUGGGAGUGCGCUGACGCUGAGACACGAAAGCCAGGGGAGCGAACGGG